rnacentral:rRNA from 1 species
UACGUAGGGCGCAAGCGUUGUCCGGAAUUAUUGGGCGUAAAGAGCUCGUAGGCGGUUUGUCGCGUCGGAUGGUGAAAGCCCGGGGCUUAACCCCGGGUCUGCAUUCGAUACGGGCAGACUAGAGUGUGGUAGGGGAGAUCGGAAUUCCUGGUGUAGCGGUGAAAUGCGCAGAUAUCAGGAGGAACACCGAUGGCGAAGGCAGGUCUCUGGGCCACUACUGACGCUGAGACGCGAAAGCGUGGGGAGCGAACAGG